CUAGGAGGUCCCCCAGCCUCACACACACACACACACACACACACACACACACACACACACACACACACACACACACACACACACACACACACACACACACACACACACACACACACACACACACACACACAUCGAAGGGGGGCUCACCUAGCAACUCAUUGUUUACUGUGAGGUCAGCUGUGUUUGUUUGGGGAGGGUGGGUGAUAUAAUUAGUUGAUUUCUUAUUUAUUUUUUAAAGUGUUCAUGGUCACGGACCAUUAAGGAGAAAGUACUUCAAGGUACAUAAAAAAAGAUGACUUUGCCCAUAACUUAAUGGGAAAGAUCAGAGGGAUGUUGUGUUAAAUGGUUGGGCGACAGCAUUAAGGUGGAAUGUGUGUAAAUAAAACACCGCACUACAAACCAGACAACACGUCUGCUGGGCCUGUUUCAACGUCACGCCCUAAUGGCCGUUGUUGCUGCAUGACACAAACAGGUCUCAUCUUACUCCCUUCAUCCGUUUCCCUGUGUUAAGUCGGUUCAACGUGGCGGACUUCACGCACACACCGGGCCGCGUGUGUGGCAGGCACACACAUGCGUCGUGUGCCGUGGGCUCACUUCACUCAAACACAAGUCGGCUGCUGUUGUUUACCACUCAAAGGUUGGACAUUCCGCUUGGUUUCUUCCUGUGUGACCCUUCGCCUACAUUCCCCACUCUGCUUAUCCUGGCCCUGCACUUUUGGGGGCCUUUCUGCCUUCCUGGAUCUAGAUGCACUUUCACCCAGUAGCCAGGGGCCUUUCUCCGGGAGGGGCCCCUGAAUGGGUGGAUAGAGCCCACUGAGGCUGAUUCAGUGAGGAUUAAAUGCAUUUACAUGUCUGGGUUUCAGCGGGAUGAACGCAUUUGAAUCUGGACCACAUAGAAUUUGGUUGUGUGUAUCCCAGUUAACUUCUGAUGGACAGGGAAUCACAUUUUAUGCUUUGGUAGUUGCACCGUUUUGUUUGCGUCGUAAGAUUUCAAAUAGCUCUAUUCAUAAUCAAUGCCAACAAGACUUCAAAACAAACAAAAACAUAAACACUCCCAACCUUCGGGUACAUUCCCAAACACGUCGAUUCUCAAUCGCACACUAUUCGUUUGGAGAUAGGGCAGGGAGGUGGAGAUGAAGAAUGUGUGCUGCCUGUCCAAUCUUAUCCCUGACCUGGUCAUGUACUGAGUACUGACCUCUCGCGAAGGGAUGUCCACAUGGAUGACUCUACCCCUCCCAACUCUCAGGGGGUGGUAGAGUGGGGGGCCGAUGAUUGCAGUACACCCACCCAACAGAGUUAUCUACGUGGUCAGAGAGCUAAUCAGUGCUGUUCUGUUGUUGUGAGGAGAGAGUGUAAGUUGGACCCCUGUUGUUAUCAUCAUUCGCACCUCACUGUUGCUCAAUUGUAUCUUUGUUACGUCGGCCCUACUGUAUUUCAUGUUAUCUAGUUGUUAUAUAAUUCCUUAUCGUUAGCCUCAUAGCAUAAUUGCCAAAGUCCUAUUUUAAGGUUCAUCUUGUAUUUAGCGUGAUUCAAUGAUUAUGGAAUGUAAAAAGCUCUCUUAUUGGCUUAAGAUUUUGCCAAUAAGGCUCAGUGAAUCUGCAGCGUUAGGAGAGUACAGUUAACUUAGAUAUCAAAAUUUGACCAAAAUAUGACUUGGGCAAUUAGGCUAUGAGGCUAACGAUAUGCUACACAGGUUAAGAAAAAUCUCAUUCAUUGUCCAUCAAGACCCUCUACAGUAUAUUGUUGUGUGACGGCCGUUUGACCAAAUUCUUAGAACAUCCCAAAUUGCUGUACAUGCUCACCUUUACCUCAUUUAAGCACAUCACAGCAUUUCGAAACAGCCCUUAAAAUAAACCACACAGACCCGAUACAUACCUUUACAUCCAGGGCCUUGAAAGGCCCCCGCAGGGCCCUUUACGACCACUUCCUGGACCCCAGGGCCAAUGGCUCCUGGAGGAGAGGAAGCCAUGGGUCAGCCUGUUGGAAAACAUGUUGUUCCUGCUCUGGAGGUCUCCGGAGGUGGAUGAACUCUAUCGGUGUCCAGGGGCCGCGUGGCCCACCGUCCUCCCGUCCCUCAUCCUGUCAUGACCCCCGUUAAACCCCCGUUAAACCAAGGGAUCCACUCACUCCUUCGCAGGAAAGACACUUUAUGACUUAUUGUUCAGGAGGAACAAAGGUUUUCCCCCAAUGCAGAGGUCGUUGCGGGACAGAUAACCCUUGUCGAAGAGACAUUGACAUAUCGUUAGCGGGGUGGCGGGUCUUGAUGGGAGAGGGGCUUGAUGGCCAAUAAGAAGAACUUCUUCUUUCCCUGAGUAGAAUAUCAUUAGCCUCAUAGCAUAAUUGCUCAAGUCAUAUUUUGGCUAAAUUGUGAUAUCUAACCUAAUGCUGCUGAUUCACUGGGUCUCAUUGACUAUAUACUCAGGCAUUUUCUUGACGCUAUAUGUACAAGAUGAAAAACACUAAAUUAGGUUUUCAUCUGUAGUUUAAAAGUCAACACUUGACACUAAAUACAAGAUGAAAAACACUAAAUUAGGUUUUCAUCUGUAGUUUAAAAGUCAACACUGGUUUGAUGAAAUCUAACCAAUAUUUGGGUGCUAUUUGUCAAAUCCACAGAAUAUUUAAAGCGUCUAUUUGGUUUGGUUAUUCUGUAGUGUGUUUCAAUAGGAUGUAUUGAAGGGAAUUGCCGCCAAACAAACAAACAAAACCAAAGGUCAACUUCAUCCUGGGUGGGGAUCCUCUCUUGCAGUUGAGCAAAGAAAUGACUCAAAGUGAAACUGACCGAACCACCUGCUGGGACAGUGAUUCAGGGUUGAUUGCUGGAUCGGUUUUGUUCCCAAUGCUGGCACUGCUGCUUUUCCAUUGCUUGCAGCUAACAACAGCCCACUCAUGGAAACUUUGACUGGGAUGGGUGAGCUGGGCCAGGACUUUGGUAUCGCGCCCUCUGUUAAUGUGGGUGGGCGGCUAUGUUUUUUGUAUUUGGGGUAAAAUGGAUCCCUUGUUUUGUGCUGGCCCUGUGAAUGUUUGAUUUCCCUGGUGUUUCCUGAAGAAUGGUUUACAUAAGCGUGCAGAGCCUCAGCAAGAAGCCUAACCUGUAUAACUAUAGUUUAUUUUAACAUUUAGACCUGAAGUUAACCUUUGUGGUUUGAACUUGUAAUACAAUAACACUAGGUAUGGUCCACUUAGUCUUCAGGAAAAUUGUACCUACCCUUUUUCGGUUUUACACACACACACGCACCCUUUUAUUAGUCACAGAACUUCUUUGUGCCAAAUGAGAUGUGAAAUGAUGUUGGGCAACACAAUAUAUUUCUACAGUGCUGCAGAUGAAGGCAAAGUUACAUAAAAUUAGGUAUACUGUACAAUGAUACACAAACCUCACCUAUAUAUUUGGGAAGCUUUUAAAGCUACGACACAGUAUUUUUUUUUCAAAGCUUUUUUUUUUCAAAUUUGGUUGGUCUGUAAAAAGGCCGUCCAAUCAUUUCAUUCCAAAGAACGAAAUGAUUAGAUGGCCUACCUUCCAUCUACCUACAUACCCAACUACUUGUGUGCACUGUGCCCGUGCACUCAUUGCGAAUGUCUUUCAGAAAGCUAGGCCGAGCUAUUGCUAGCUAGCGAGCCAGUCAAGUGUUUUGAAGGAGUGGCUUGGAGAGAGGCCUGGUUGGAUGGAUUCGGAUUUCUGUUGGAUACUUCCAAAAUGUUCUUAACUCUGGCUUGCUUCUCCAGGCUCCCUACCCUAGCUUCAAGCCUCACAUACUCUUGUCUACACCUUAUUCACCUUAAACUACUUUAAAGUACACCACAAAGCACUAACCCAUUGUAAAACAGCAGUUUUAUCAAGUCUGUGACAGGCAGAGGUUCUCAAGAGACUCGUUCGCCUUGGCAACCAAGUCAGUUACAGACCUCAAAGAAGAGAGUCCACAACACAGUGUUGGUUGAUGAGGGGUUAAUGUCUGCGGGGCUGGGUUCCUCUCCUGGGAGUCAUCCCUGAAGCCAAGGUCGUCCUGACCCAGAGGAAAGGGCGGCCAUUAAUGGCACAAACUGUUUCUGUUUCCUCUUUGGAGGGAUGGGCUGAGGACAUCUGAUGAGGGGGGAGUCCAGUCUCAGAUCCACAAGAGCAGAAUAUCAUGUCUGCCUGGAGACAAGGCGUAAUUGAGACUGACAGAGGCAUAUAGAGCCUUGUUUUCCCAGGUGGCUUCAGCUCUAAACCAGUGGUUCUCAAACCUCUUCUACUAGUGUACCCCCCUCUAAGAUAAUUAUUUUUUGGCUGAGUACCCCCUUCACCGGCACAAAACAAUUUUGGGAGAAAAUAUACCCACAAUUUGGUGAGAAACCUGGGUCUGUGCUUCAGGCACCUGUUAGCUAAUUACUCCCCACAAUAGAAGCACAACCCAGGGGAGAGUCAGAGCAUGUAGUGAUCCCAUUAUAAUAUAUUCCUCCUGAAACUGACGACAUUUUGAUGUUUCUGGAUGCGCUUUCUUUUUCAUAGAUUCUCCUUUCUCCUUGUUUUAAUUGCAACCACCAUUUCUAGAUUUUUUAUUGUCUAGCUUUCAGAAUUGAAACUUGCUCAGGGUGAAAAAAAUUAAAGUCUGAGUACCCCCUGCAGUACUCCACAGUACCUAUAUGGGUAUGCGUACCUCCAUUUGAGAACCACUGCUCUUCACCACCAAUGAAAAAACCCAAAUGUUCUGAUUCCUAUGCUUCUCAGCAUUUGUCCGGUCUUUCUUUGAAACUAGGUCAGGCAGCAUAUGGAAUUGGUUUUGCAGCCAUGCCGUUUUUUGCUUGCUGUCAGUAUCCCUUAUAAUUAACCUUUGCUGUCAGGAUCUAUUGUCCUUAGUGUGUUGAACUUGGCAAUGCUGCUGCUGCUUUGUGAGACAAUUAUUUAUGACAUUAUAAAGACUGGAGUCUAACACUGUGCAAUGAUCUUAAUCUUCAAAGAUUCUAAGGUUGUUUUUGUUUUUCAGUAAUCGUAGUGUACAGUUCCUUAUCUGUCUGGCAGAUAACUUUUACCACCUAGGUGGUGUUUGAUAUGCUGUUGACAACAGGGUAAUAAAGGUCUAGUAGGUUACAGAUAAUACUAAAUUUGUGUUACAAUUAAGCUACUCACAGGCUUCCAAACACCUUCGUGUUUGAGUAGCGAUGCGUGUUGUGUGUUGACAGUAUGAUCUUGAUCCUGUUUGUCAAUAAAGUUAAAAUUUGCUGACCUGCAUUGAUCUGUGAUGUCAACAUAGCUGGACUGAUGCUGUGUGGGAGCACAAUGGACAGCCAUGCUGCAAUGGUCAUCUCUGUGGAGAAUCACUUGUAAAACAUGGGUUUGGUAGAAAAUGGAAGUGGAAAGUAAGGUGUUAUAGGCUGAUGCAAGGCAAGAAACUAAACAUGUGAAGCCUUGAAGGGAUUAUUAUUAUUUGCUUUAUUGAGUUUUUUUUUCUAUAUUCUGAUGGGACAAUAGUAACUGAAUAUUUUCUUCACCACUGCUUUGUAUCUAAUAGGGCCAUACCAUCUACUGUGUAGCGCUGUGACAGAGAUUUCUCUCACAAACUCAUCUGAAACAUAAGGGCGCCCUCUUCUGCUAGGCUUUAGAAUUGCAGAUGGCUUUUCCACACAAGGCGUUUUUAGCCUCCGGACAACCCAUUAGUUCAGAGCGGAGACUCCAUUCACCAUUCUCUAAAAUUGGAUUUAAAACAUCCAAAUUAAGAGAAAAACAAACCAGCCUACGUUUGUGUGUUUAUGAAAACUCUAGGUGCCACACUUGCGGACAUUAGGAAAAAGUGUAAGUAUAUUAUUUCUGUUGAAUUAUAUAACUGUUGAGCGCGAUGAAGGAAAAUAUUGUAUUGCCGUGUGAGCGUUCUUAAUAUACAUUCAUGGUGUAAGCUCGCGAGAUUUCGCUCUUAAUUGCUGCCCGCUUACCAGAUGGCAAUUAAAAAACAAGCUUGUCAGCACUCCGCUCAACGGAACUGAAGCCUCCUAAAACUGACCGCAAAACAGUCAAAGUCGUUUUUACACAUCCUGAGGCUCCCAUUAACUGUCAAGCACACCCUUUAUACUUGUAGGCAGAGACAAGCGGGACUGUUUUUAAAGUAAUUGUGUGUGUCCUUUUGCAAUUACAAUUCACAAAGAUAGGGCGAUAUAAACAAAACCGCCAUUUACGUUGAGCGAAAUAUUCCAUCUGCAUGGAACAGUUUGUUAUGAUGCAGGGCCGGACCUGUACACCUCGGGGCCCUAAGCAGGAUAAUGUUGGGGCUCUGCUUUGAGGUUGAUAGAGUAGUUUUGCCACAGAGAACAAGCAACAUAUGCAUUCAUAACCCUUACGGUUUUUAUCCACAACUCUUUGAACAUGAUUAGCUGCAAUUAAUUUACUACUUAUUAAGUAUACUCACUUAAACAGUCAAAGUAAAGCUUACACACUUACCACAUUUCUACUUCUACUUUACUGUCUGAAUCCCUUGUGAAUUUAAAACAGCACUAACUGUUUUGUCCACUUGGCGGCUUACAACCUUCAGUAUUAAAACAUCUUCAAUAAAGUUGCUGGAGUCUUGAACUGCUUUUUCUAUUCACAUUUAAAAGAGGUGAAAGUUGAAAUUAUAUUUUGAUUGUAAAGGGUGUUAAUCAUAUACUCUUGAUUUGGCAGAGAGAUUAAAGAUUAAACGAAGAUUUUAGAUUCAGUUUGUAUUUAUUUUUUAGAAGAUCUUCAAGAUAAUGAUAAAUUCCUCAACAAUAACACUGCAACACAAUUAUAACUUCAGGUAAAUUAGCCAAAAAUCUAAAAUAUAUAGGGUUACUUUCCUGCUUACUGCGGUGAGGGUUUCGUAUAAUUUAAUUAAUUAAGGGCGCCACCAGAGGGCGCCCCCGACACAUUUGCCACCCUGGGCGAUAUAUAUAUAUUUUUCUUCCUCCAUGGGCCCCUGACGCCGUCUGGGCCCCAGGCAGCUGCACCGGUUGCACCGUCGAUAUUUAGCCACUGUCUCUGAAUAAUAUUGUUGCGGUUUUUGUGCGUUGAAAUGUCAGGGUUAAACAUUAACCCAACUCUGCAGAGUUGUAAUUACGUUCCGCCCAUGCAUUUCACGCACCAUUUUCUACCUCUCAUGCAAUACAGUGUGCAAUUGAGUCAAAUUUACUGAAGAAGUAUAAAUUGGUGCUCUGUAUUUCAGUAUGAACAUGAAACAUCUACAGUGAAUAUAUGCAUUACAAAACGUAUUUAAUGCCAGGCAAAUUUGUCCUGGUGAUUAGCCAAUUAGUAGUCUAUGCUAAUUGGCUUAUCACCAACACAUGGUUGGUGAUUAGCCAAUUAGCAGUCUAUGCUACUUGGCUAAGCUAACCAUGUGUUACUAAAACUGUCUUAUACUUAAUCAAUCAUGAUUUUUUUGGCUUUAAUUAGUGUGGUUGCUACUACUGCUUAAGACAUCGUAACUAAAUUGACUGCGUUCAAACCAUUCAACAUAUCUACACACUUGCAGAUAUAUCUAAAAGGAUUUUUUAUAUCAUUUAUACUUUGUUCAGAAUCAGUUUAAGUUCCAUUUCAGCUUCCUUUUGGGUUGGUCUCAUUGAUUUACACUGAGGUUAGAAUGGGGAGGACGUACAGGCAGUGUUUAGACUGGGUACCCCCCCCCCCCCCCCCCCCGCCCAUUCUGCCAGCGAUUUGAAUACGCCCUGCACAAGGGUCUUGAGAAGAGCAAUACAUUUCUUCGAUACGUUUUUGCGUGCCCCCCUGGUGCGCUAUUGGCUGGUUUAACACAAUGACGACAGCGAAGCAACGGAAAGCAGCCAAUUGCAUACAGAGUCGUUUGAAUUAGGGCCGUUGAUCACGCCUCUUGUGCUGAAGAAAAUGACAGCAGCUUCCCCAGACCAGCGUGCAAUCUACGAUUGAGCUUGGUCUGGCAAUUGCCGGGCUAGGCAGUGUUGCCAGAUUGGGCAGUUUACCAUCUGCGGCAUUUUAGCACACUCACACACACACACGCAUUCUAGUUUUUACCGUUCUUCCUUUAAAUGUUUAUUUACCUUGUCAAACUUCCUUGCAUGUUUCAGAAAAGAUCCUGGUCCAGGUGAAGUACGGCCAACAGCAGAAGUAUGUGAAGUUGGAUGAGGAUGAAGGACGGUUUGACUUUCGGCAAUUCCAUGAAAAAGUCAUCGAGAGAUUUUGCCUGCCACCGGAUGCUAAAGUUACAUACAAGGAUGCAACAGGGACAGAAGUUAAUGCCUUCAGCUCAAGUGCAUCAUCUGUCAUCCUAGACGAGGUCUAUAGCAAGAGACAUAGAAACGAGGAUACACGUGAUGCUGCGUCUGCCAAACAGGUUUCUUAACACUUAACACAAACUGGCCAUGCAUAAAUGUGCUAAUUUGCCAUUGCAUAAAUGUACUAAUUUACUAAUUGAAUAUCUCCUCUCAGGCACCUCCCCACUAAAGCAAUCAGAGAAGAUUAUGCACAUUGUCUAUUGAUUCUGUUCCCUUCCCUCAAGAAUCCAUGUUCCAAGAAGGGCUAAGUAAUAGUCAUUAUUAUUGGUUACAUUAUUAUUGUUUACACUUGCACAACAUGAAAAGUGGUUUACACCACUUUUCAAGGAAAUAUGUUUAAGAAAUAUUUUUGGAAAUUCCAAAAACAUAACUAAAUCACCUACUGAAAAGCAUCAGAAGGCCAUUGCUUACAACUUGGAAAACUUCUCCCUUAUGUAUGUAUUUAAGUUAUUUAAAAUAAUAAUAAUUUAAAAAAAACGGAAACUUUUCUGUUUGUUGUCCAUGCAUCACACAUUGUUUAAUUGCAAAAUAGUAUAGUAAAGCUAUAAUGGCAUGAAAAUGUCACUUUCUGAAGUUUUCUAACAUCAAUAUGAGUUCCCCUAGCCUACCAGCCCUUACACAGAGGUCCCACGGAUGUCAACAUUAGACGUUCGGUAGAAAAAGACGUUACCUGGCGUUACAAAACAACCCCUUCAGUGGACCAAAAUUUGACGACCAAUAAUGAUGACUGAGUUUGCGUGCAUGCUAUGCGUAGGCUGAAUCACAAUCGUGUUAAGACAAAUCCGAUUGGCCAAUACACACUGAAGAUAAAUUCAAUAAUUUUUAAAUGACAAAAAUGAUCCCUCUCUGGCGAACAGAUUGUUGUAGCAGGCAAAAAAAAUAAAUAAAAAUUAUCUGCAUCGAGACAGAAUCGUUCUAGCGAGAAUCGCGAUGCAUCGAAGAAUCGAUUAUUUUUCCCAUCCCUAGUAAUUUAUGUACAGCCUAAUUGGUGUUAAGGACUACCGAGUGUAGAUCUACUGAUUGUUGUGUAGGUCUAACUGCUUGUUUAAGGACCAAGGGAAACAAAGUUUGUUCAGUCGGUUAUAAUGCAUCUGAACACAGCCACAAAAAGCUAGCUCCGACAACUUCCCCCAGCUUCAGCACGUGUUGUCCAGACGUUUGUCAUUUUGACAGUUGGUGGACGGUGACACAAUGGACGCCUGUGUCUGCAGUGUCCUCAACACAUCUGGGAGGGUCCCCCAGGUUUUCAUAGGUAGCCUCAUCAUCGCUAAAUUCAUCAGGAUCCGCUUGGUCCUGUAAGAACCAAAAAUACAUUUUUUUGGAAUGUUCCUUUGAAUCUCCAUGAAAUGUUCCUUUGAGGGGUUGUCAACGUAUUUCCUCAUUUGACAAUAAAUGUAAUGGGUACAACUGUGUACAAACAGAAUUAAACAGACAUAAACAGACUAUAAUAGGCUGUUACCCAUACAAGAAAACGAGGUCAUUAAAACUCUGCUGCUUUCUGCUCCCACUUUGAGCCAUACUUUACGAAAGUUAAUGGUGUUGACUGGUGAUUUGUUCCACAAUUUACAGAUUUCAUGAUUGGGAAAUUCUAUUUUAUUAGAGAAGCCAAGCCAGGUUCUUAUCACGGAGAUUCAGAUUGAAAUGUAAACUUUUUAGAGGUUGCUCUGUGGACUCCCACCCAACCUUCUCUGUGUGUGUGUGUGUGUGUGUGUGUGUGUGUGUGUGUGUGUGUGUGUGUGUGUGUGUGUGUGUGUGUGUGUGUGUGUGUGUGUGUGUGUGUGUGUGUGUGUGUGUGUGUGUGUGUGUGUGUGUGUGAAUGGGUGAACGAGUCUCACCUCGUCACUGGCCCCUGGGCCGAGGUGUACUCUGGCUGGUGGUGCGUCACUGGCAGAGUUCAGACCCUGCACCCAAGACAGUCCGCAGUUAGUCCUGCUCACAUCCCUCUAGCAGCCACCGCCCUCCAAAGGGACUGACACUCUACAACUAUCACUGCAACGCAUCAACAUUGGAGAAGCUGUCGUUUAAAAAUAGACUAGACCGAGUUCAGAUCAGCCAAUUAGAUCAUUCAUAAGUGGUAUUUUAAAGAGUUAUAUAUCAUGUUUCAAAGGGUUUUCUAUAUCCCACAACAACUCAACAAAGUGCAUUGUAGACUUCAAGAGCUGCUAGAUAAUCACAAAUCAGCAAAAGUCUGUUGACACGUUCAAAUGCCCCCCCCCCCCGUACCACAACAUUGUUACUGUAAUUAUCAAUAAUAUUUCGUUAAAUGGAAGCACCCUUUGCUAGCUUUGACCUGCUUAGUGUGGAUCGUUGUAAUAUUCUCCACUUGUUGAGCAACACAGUAAAUAGAGAACAAGUCAACCUUGCCACGAACACAACCUGGGACUGUAAUUCAUCCUCUUUGGUGUUUAACUCACAAUGCACUCUUCUGUUGCCGUCUGGUUACCUGGUGGAGAGAAAGCCACAGUCAGUGUUUCUAUGGCGAUAUAAACAGGUGUGUAGAUGGAGACGUGACAACAAACAUCCCCUAACCCCAAGGACUAGACUUUAACCCUUCUAGGGAGGGUUAAACAAGGAAAACGCCACAAGAUAGUAAUAGGUGGUGCAUUUUUGUUUGAUGUUGUUCACUAAAUAAAAACUCUUCAAGACCAAUUUAGUCUUAAAAUGGAACACAUAUGAGGGACCUUUCAUUCCUCUCUCUCUCUCUCUCUCUCUCUCUCUCUCUCUCUCUGACUCUCUCUCUCUCUGACUCUCCCUUAAUCUUUCUCUCUCCCUCUCUUUUCUUCUCUCUCUCCUCUUUCUGCAAAAAUACAAUGUUGUUAUCAAGGGUUUAUAUUAGAUACAGUUUGUGUGGCUGCAAAGGGAAGUUGGAACUGAUCAAAUGAUUUCUCUGAAAUGAUAGGGCAUUGACGGCAGGAUGUAAAAGAGACAUUGCAGACAAUGUGAAGAAUAUUAUCUUAGAAUUUUUUCUGGUCAUUUGGGGUUUGCAAUCCUUUUGAUCUCAACCAAUCUGUAACUUACACAUGGGCAGGAUAUGACUAACAUUGUCUAUGUAUUAUACUUAUAUAUACUCUCUCUCUCUCUCUCUCUCUCUCUCUCUCUCUCUCUGACUCUCUCUCUCUCUGACUCUCUCUCUCUCUCUCUCUGACUCUCCCUUAAUCUUUCUCUCUCCCUCUCUUUUCUUCUCUCUCUCUCCUCUUUCUGCAAAAAUACAAUGUUGUUAUCAAGGGUUUAUAUUAGAUACAGUUUGUGUGGCUGCAAAGGGAAGUUGGAACUGAUCAAAUGAUUUCUCUGAAAUGAUAGGGCAUUGACGGCAGGAUGUAAAAGAGACAUUGCAGACAAUGUGAAGAAUAUUAUCUUAGAAAUUUUUCUGGUCAUUUGGGGUUUGCAAUCCUUUUGAUCUCAACCAAUCUGUAACUUACACAUGGGCAGGAUAUGACUAACAUUGUCUAUGUAUUAUACUUAUUUAUUCUACUUCAUUUAAGAAUGCUCGAUUCUGAUUGGCUGGGAGGGGUGCAUUAAUCCGGCAUAUUGCCCGCUGACUUGUCGGUUCUACUUGCUGCUGACUGAGCACAGUAGAUCAAUACGCCGCUUGUAUCGUUUUCUAUCACAUACAUUUCAAACAUGAGGUCCGUUGUAAAAAUAAACCAAGGAGUGCAUGUUUGAUCGAUCGUCAUUAAAGCUGACUUGAUACGAAUGUAACAACUACGUUGUUAAACUAGUGAUCAGUUGCAACCUCGUGUGGUUGCUAUAGAAACGAGUUACCUACAGCUGAGCUAACGUUAUUCACCGUAGUUCUAAAGGGAACUACUUUUCGAGGGAGAUGAACUUAAACAGAGCAUACAUUUAAUAAGCAUGCAAUACGAAUAAGAAAAAGGCUAAUUAUUAAAGUAUUUGAAUUGUUUUAUUAUGUUGGCCGGCGCGAAGUAGAAUAAACGGAAUAAUCACCUCAAGGCCGGGCAAUAAACAGUUUGAUAUGCCCGGC